rnacentral:lncRNA from 1 species
UUAACUUAUUCAGUGGUUCUGAGAUGAUGACAUACGGUCUGAAAUCGUUGGGCUGUCUAUUGUCAGAAGGAUUUAGCCUUGGCCAAUGAGAAAGGAGUAGGAGUGUGGAAAUCACAGGACGCUAUAGAAGGCAGUGAAGAUACAUCAAGAAACAUUCCACUCUGCACCCAAGGUGUGGCUGUUGGUCAUCCACAUGUUUUCUUUCUGACUGGUGAGAGAAACCCAUAAACUUCUGAUUUUGUCUACAAUGUAAAUUGAUAUAUUAAAGUCCUUCUCUGAAAGCGGGUUGGUUUAAAUUAUCAUUUUUAUGACUGGUCUAAAUAAAGCCCACAGUAAAUGCAAUCAAAUGGUAGCAUGUUACAGUAUUUUUACCUUUUAAUUUAACUACGCAAGUCAGUUAAGAACAACUUAUUUUCAGUGACGGCCUAGGAACAGUGGGUUAACUGCCUGUUCAGGGGCAGAACGACCGAUGUGUACCAUGGGGAUUUGAAUUUACAACCUUUCGGUUACUAGUCCAGUGCUCUAACCACUAGGCUACCCUGCCACCCCAGUAUGUGGUAAAUUCAUGUAGAAAAGUGUUUGGUCAAACGUUGAAGACCGAAUAAAUACUACAAGACUUUGCAAUGUUGGGUUGUUGGGCAGAUUUUGGGUAGUGUGCCAAAAUAGGAAGUUUCAUUUCUAAGAGAGCCUUAAGUUUAGUUUCUAUCUCUCUCCCACUCACACACCUCACCCUUACUCUCCCUCUUACGCGCACACAAAUACAUACACACAUACACACAUAUAUUUAUAUAUAUACUCUCAUUUUAACUCAUCUCUCACUUAC